rnacentral:rRNA from 1 species
ACUCAAAGGAAUUGACGGGGGCCCGCACAAGCGGCGGAGCGUGCGGUUUAAUUCGACGCAACGCGCAGAACCUUACCAAGGCUUGACAUGCGCCUGCAGGACGGCGAAAGCCGUUUGCCUUCGAGGGUGGCGCACAGGUGCUGCAUGGCUGUCGUCAGCUCGUGUCGUGAGAUGUUGGGUUAAGUCCCGCAACGAGCGCAACCCCCGUGGCCAGUUACGUGGGUGUCUGGCCAGACUGCCGGUAGCAAGCCGGAGGAAGGCGGGGAUGACGUCAAGUCAGCAUGGCCCUUACGUCUUGGGCUACACGCACGCUACAAUGGACGGGACAGAGGGUAGCCAAGCCGCAAGGUGGAGCGAAUCCCAGAAACCCGUUCUCAGUUCGGAUUGUGGGCUGCAACUCGCCCGCAUGAAGGUGGAGUCGCUAGUAACCGCAGGUCAGCAAUACUGCGGUGAAUACGUUCCCGGGCCUUGCACACACCGCCCGU